CGUAUUUCAACCAUCCUCCCUCACACUGCACGAUGACAAGUGAAGUUUUUUUAGGCUCGCAGUGAGGUAGCUACAGGCUUCAAGAAACAUGAGGGUAGUGGCGGAUGUAGUAAGUACUGGUGUAUAGGUGUGAACUGGUGGAUAAGGUGUUGUGCAAAAAGAGACAGGGCAAAAGAAAGAAUAGAACAAAAGGGAAAAAAGACGACAAGAGACAAAAAGCAGAGAAAA